CAACCCCAGAGCUCCCUAUAUAGAAGGAGGACAUGCAAAUAGGGGCCCCUCUGCUGAUGAAAACCAGCCCAGCCCUGACCCUGCAGCUCAGGGACAGGAGCCCCAGCCCCGGGAUCCUCAGGUGUCCCCAUUCUGUGACCAGGACUGAACACAGACGACACACCAUGGAGUUUGGGCUCAGCUGGGUUUUCCUUGUGACUAUUUUAAGAGGUGUCCAGUGUGAGGUGCAGCUGGUGGAGUCUGGGGGAGGCUUGGUGCAGCCUGGGGGGUCUCUGCGACUCUCCUGUGCCGCCUCUGGAUUCACCUUCAGUGACUACAGCAUGAACUGGGUCCGCCAGGCUCCAGGGAAGGGGCUGGAGUGGGUCUCAUUCAUCAGUCAAACUGGUAAGAAUAUAUACUAUGCCGACUCGGUGAAGGGCCAAUUCACCAUCUCCAGAGACAACGCCAAGAACAUGCUCUAUCUGCAAAUGACCAGCCUGAGAGCCGAGGACACGGCCGUGUAUUACUGUGCGAGACAGUGCGCCAAGUCUUCAGCUAGGAAUCCACUGCUCAUGAAUAUGCAAAUGAGCUGA